rnacentral:rRNA from 1 species
AGAACGAACGCUGGCGGCACGCCUAACACAUGCAAGUCGAGCGCCCAGCAAUGGGAGCGGCGGACGGGUGAGUAACACGUGGGAACAUGCCUUUCGGUACGGAACAACUGCGGGAAACUGCAGCUAAUGCCGUAUACGCCCUUACGGGGAAAGAUUUAUCGCCGAAAGAUUGGCCCGCGUCUGAUUAGCUAGUUGGUGAGGUAACGGCUCACCAAGGCUUCGAUCAGUAGCUGGUUUGAGAGAACGACCAGCCACAUUGGGACUGAGACACGGCCCAAACUCCUACGGGAGGCAGCAGUGGGGAAUCUUGGACAAUGGGGGAAACCCUGAUCCAGCGAUGCCGCGUGAGUGAUGAAGGCCUUCGGGUUGUAAAACUCUUUCGACGGGGACGAUAAUGACGGUACCCGUAGAAGAAGCUCCGGCUAACUUCGUGCCAACAGCCGC